UAUUUGACCUAGCCUCCAGUGACUCCGGUGACUCCAUCGGUCCACCCCAUGUUGAGCCUGGUGUAUCUUGGAUGAUGGUGUUCAGUCCAGCCAUCACGGUCCUCUCCACCUUCCUGUGCCUGACUUUUGUUUAUCUCUGCAGUCAGAAUGCAGAUGAAAAAGAUCAAAUGACUGAGAGAAGACCUGACAUGGGAGAGGAAAGUACAGUGAAUCAGGAUGAAGACGCAUGUUUCACCAGAGUUGUGUUCCUGGUUGCCGAUGAGCAGAACAAAUAUAUUGGCUUUGUAUGAGCGGACA